rnacentral:tRNA from 1 species
ACUUAAGUAGUUUAAAGAAAAUUAUGAUUUGUGGUAUCAUAGAUAUAAAUUUUAUCUUAAGUU